CUGAAAACAAGACCACUACCUUUCCCAAUCAAUGCAGGCAUUGGGGAUUGCAGCAAAGGUGUGAGUCAGUAAGGAACUGUCAGCAAGUGUGUGUGUGUGUGUCUGUCAGUGAGUGCGUGUGUCUGUCACUAUGUUUAUCUGUCACUAAGUGUGUGUGUGCCUGUCAGUGCGUGUGUCUGUCAGUGAGUGUGUGUGUGUUUGUUAGUGAGUGUGUUUCAAAUCAGUGAGAUUGUGUGUCUGUCAUUGAGAGUUUGUCUUCCAGUGUGCAUCUCUCAGUGUGUCUCUAUCAGUGAGAGUGUUUGUCAGUCAGUGAUUAUGUAUGUCUAUUUGUCAGUGAGUGUGUUUCACAUCAGUGGGAUUAUGUGUCUGUCAUUGAGAGUGUGUGGCUGCCAGUGUGCAUCUGUCAGUGUGUCUCUUUUAGUAAGAGUUUGUGACUGUCAGUAAGUGUGUGUCUGAUUAGAAAAAUUAGUGGGGCUUAAAUAUGGACAAGUAGAGUUGUUGCAUUAGCAUUUUAUACCCCAGAACAACCUCGGAGUAACACCACCCGUCCCAUAGUAGCCUGG